rnacentral:tRNA from 3 species
GGGUCGUUAGCUCAGCCGGUAGAGCAGCUGGCUUUUAACCAGUUGGUCGCAGGUUCGAAUCCUGCACGACCCACCA